AAUUGAGGGGGGCUGCUCCUAGUACGAGAGGACCGGAGUGGACGCAUCACUGGUGUUCGGGUUGUCAUGCCAAUGGCAUUGCCCGGUAGCUAAAUGCGGAAGAGAUAAGUGCUGAAAGCAUCUAAGCACGAAACUUGCCCCGAGAUGAGUUCUCCCUGACUCUUUAAGAGUCCUGAAGGAACGUUGAAGACGACGACGUUGAUAGGUCGGGUGUGUAAGUGUAGCGAUACAUUGAGCUAACCGAUACUAAUGAACCGUGAGGCUUAACCUU
rnacentral:rRNA from 2 species